UGGCGGACGGGUGAGUAAUGUCUGGGGAAACUGCCUGAUGGAGGGGGAUAACUACUGGAAACGGUAGCUAAUACCGCAUAACGUCGCAGACCAAGAGGGGACCUUCGGGCCUCUUGCCAUCGGAUGUGCCCAGAUGGGAUUAGCUAGUAGGUGGGGUAACGGCUCACCUAGGCGACGAUCCCUAGCUGGUCUGAGAGGAUGACCAGCCACACUGGAACUGAGACACGGUCCAG
rnacentral:rRNA from 1 species